GACGAACGCUGGCGGCGUGCUUAACACAUGCAAGUCGAACGGAAAGGCCCUGCUUUUGUGGGGUGCUCGAGUGGCGAACGGGUGAGUAACACGUGAGUAACCUGCACUUGACUUUGGGAUAACUUCAGGAAACUGGGGCUAAUACCGGAUAGGAGCUCCUGCUGCAUGGUGGUGGUUGGAGAGUUUCGGCGGUUGGGGAUGGACUCGCGGCUUAUCAGCUUGUUGGUGGGGUAGUGGCUUACCAAGGCUUUGACGGGUAGCCGGCCUGAGAGGGUGACCGGCGACAUUGGGACUGAGAGACGGACCAGACUCCUACGGGAGGCAGAGGGGGGGAAUAUUGCACAAUGGGCGGAAGCCUGAUGCAGCAACGCCGCGUGCGUGAAGACGGCCUUCGGGUUGUAAACAGCUUUGGCCUGUGACGAAGCGUGAGUGACGGUAAUGGGUAAAGAAGCACCGGCUAACUACGUG
rnacentral:rRNA from 1 species